AUUUACUUAAAGGAACUAUUGCACUUAUUUUGAUGCUUCUAUUGCUAUUUUUACUGAGGCUAAGAUGCACUCCACGGAGGACUAUGAUUUAACAUCACUAUUGCAGAACUAAGAAAUGGGAAAAAUAACAGUUCUCCAUUCUUCUUUACAGAAUCAUCCCCUUUUAAAACAUAAAGAAUGCAAAAACAUCUCUAAAUUCCAAACAACAGAGAAGCAUAUCUCAAGACUUUGAAUGUGUGACAAUCACUAGCUAACAGUAUCAAGAUCUAAAUAUCUCUAUGCAAAACUCAAAGAAAAAUAAAGUCAAUACUCGAAAA
rnacentral:lncRNA from 1 species